GACGAACGCUGGCGGCGUGCCUAAUACAUGCAAGUAGGACGCAGUUGCGAACGGGAGAGUAACGCGUAGGUCCAUGCCUAUUAGAGGGGGAUAACUACUGGAAACGAUAGCUAAUACCGCCUACUAGUAGAUGGACCUGCUUUGUAUUAGCUAGUAGGUAGGGUAAUGGGCUACCUAGGCGACGAUACAUAGCCGAGCUGAGAGGGGGAUGGGCCACAACUGGGAGGGGACACGGCCCAGACUCCUACGGGAGGCAGCAGUAGGGAAACAUCGGCAAUGGGGGGAACCCUGACCGAGCAACGCCGCGGGAGUGAAGAAGGUUGUCGGAGCGGAAAGCUCUUUUGUUAAGGAAGCGGUACUUAACCAGAAAGGGACGGCUAACUACGUGCCAGCAGCCGCGGUAAUAC
rnacentral:rRNA from 1 species